UACAGAGGUGGCAAGCGUUGUUCGGAAUUACUGGGCGUAAAGGGCGCGUAGGCGGUUCGUUAAGUCCUGUGUGAAAUCCCCCGGCUCAACUGGGGAACUGCACAGGAAACUAGCGGGCUUGAGUUCGGGAGAGGGAAGCGGAAUUCCGGGUGUAGCGGUGAAAUGCGUAGAGAUGGGGGAGAACACUCGUGGCGAAGGCGGCCAGCUAGACCAGUUCUGACACUGAGGCGCGACAGCGUGGGGAGCAAACAGG
rnacentral:rRNA from 1 species